AUAUUAAGAGAAAGGAGACGAAAAACAGAGCUCCGCUUUAAAAAAGGAUUACGACGUAGAAAAAGACACAACACUCAAGAUUGUCAUGGGUCUUUAAGAAAAGGAAAUUUGAGACGGCUAAAACGCAGAACAGUGUGGAGUUUGGGGAAGAGAUGUGGCUAAAGACAGCGUAUUUGCUUCCUGAAUGAUGGUCCCACUCAGCCAUCCACCUAUACUUUCUACAAAGUCAAUUUAUACUGAUUCUUCAGAUCAGUUAAUCACCGCCCGCCUUGGGAUGUUUCUUACAUCCCAAGAAACAGAGAAUAUUUUGAUGGGAUCGCUGAUGUUUCAGACUGCAAAAGCAGCUCAGGGCGUUUGCAGUCGUGCAAGUCAACAAGAUAACCCUCUGGACCGGAAGCUGGGCUCCUCCCGGUCUCCUAACUCCAAAUCCAACACCAAGCUUCUGCAGCUGCCACCUCCCGUAGACUUCGCAUUUCUUCCGCACUCUCCUCUCACGACGGGUCUUCUUUGUUGUACUUGAUUUCCUACGCAAUAAGAUUUCAGCAUCACCAUCAGUCCCCCAAAGGCUAAUUCCCACACAGCCGAAGUUCCCACCAAGGGCCGUGGGUUAAGGUUACUAAAAUCAGCGUUUCUGAAU
rnacentral:lncRNA from 1 species